AAAUCCCUGCGGUGUACGCGUAAAUACUUUAUGUUUUGAGCCAACACAAUUAAUAUAUGGGAAUCCGGAUUUGGCUGUGGACAGUAUGCCUCCUGUGCUUGUGGACACUCGAAGCAGCCAUGGGGAUACCCACCUGCUCAGGCAGGUUCAAAACAUAAGGAGGGCGGCGGCAUUGCGGGGGUUUG
rnacentral:other from 1 species